rnacentral:rRNA from 1 species
AUUGAACGCUGGCGGAAUGCUUUACACAUGCAAGUCGAACGGCAGCACGGGAGCUUGCUCCUGGUGGCGAGUGGCGAACGGGUGAGUAAUACAUCGGAACGUACCCUGAAGUGGGGGGAUAACGUAGCGAAAGUUACGCUAAUACCGCAUAUUCUGUGAGCAGGAAAGAGGGGGAUCGCAAGACCUCUUGCUUUAGGAGCGGCCGAUGUCGGAUUAGCUAGUUGGUGAGGUAAAGGCUCACCAAGGCGACGAUCCGUAGCGGGUCUGAGAGGAUGAUCCGCCACACUGGGACUGAGACACGGCCCAGACUCCUACGGGAGGCAGCAGUGGGGAAUUUUGGACAAUGGGCGCAAGCCUGAUCCAGCCAUGCCGCGUGAGUGAAGAAGGCCUCGG